rnacentral:rRNA from 1 species
UAAAGCGNGGAGCUUAACUCCNUNAGGCAGUGGAAGCUGACAGACUAGAGUGUGGUAGGGGCAGAGGGAAUUCCCGGUGUAGCGGUGAAAUGCGUAGAUAUCGGGAAGAACACCAGUGGCGAAGGCGNUCUGCUGGGCCAUAACUGACGCUCAUGGACGAAAGCCAGGGGAGCGAAAGGGAUUAGAUACCCCNGUAGUCCUGNCNUAAACGAUGAACACUAGGUGUCGGGGGAAUCGACCCCCUCGGUGUCGUAGCCAACGCGUUAAGUGUUCCGCNUGGGGAGUACGCACGCAAGUGUGAAACUCAAAGGAAUUGACGGGGGCCCGCACAAGCGGUGGAGUAUGUGGUUUAAUUCGAUGCAACGCGAAGAACCUUACCAGGGUUUGACAUCCUGCGAAUCUCUUGGAAGCGAGAGAGUGCCUUCGGGAACGCAGUGACAGGUGGUGCAUGGCUGUCGUCAGCUCGUGUCGUGAGAUGUUGGGUUAAGUCCCGCAACGAGCGCAACCCACGUCGUUAGUUGCCAGCAUUUAGUUGGGCACUCUAGCGAGACCGCCGGUGAUAAACCGGAGGAAGGUGUGGAUGACGUCAAGUCAUCAUGCCCCUUACAUCCUGGGCUACACACGUACUACAAUGCUACGGACAAAGGGCAGCAAACUCGCGAGAGCUAGCAAAUCCCAUAAACCGUGGCUCAGUUCAGAUCGUAGGCUGCAACUCGCCUACGUGAAGGAGGAAUCGCUAGUAAUCGCAGGUCAGCAUACUGCGGUGAAUACGUUCCCGGGCCUUGUACACACCGCCCGUCACACCAUGGAAGUUGGCCACGCCCGAAGCCGUUACUCCAACCCUUGUGGAGGAGGAUGUCGAAGGUGGGGCUGAUGACUGGGGUG